rnacentral:misc_RNA from 1 species
ACACCUCAACUCUUCAUGGUUUUCUGUGAUGAGCUUGGACUUUGGGGGUUUUGCUGGCCUAUGGUCGGCUCCUCUAAAAUGAAUCAGCUUGCCAGUGUUUGGUGGGCAUCGCAGGUGUGAUAACUAUCUACGCUUGUGGUUUUCCCACCAGGUAACCUUAAGCAGUGGAGGUUCGCUGGAGCUCACAAAUGUCUCUCCUCAGUGGGGAUGACCCUUUGAAU